rnacentral:misc_RNA from 1 species
GUUGAGGUUGCAAAGGCCUUGGAAUUCAAAUCCUUUUGUGCAGAAGAGUGUUUGGGGAUUUCUUCAUCCACAUUUUCUAUGUCAUUGUUGUGGUCACCAGUCCUUUUACUUGAAAUGUGUUGUUCCCAAAGACACCACAAAGCAACUACAAGGCCUCCAAAGAGAACAACACUUGCAACCAUGCAAACCACAAAGAGAAGCCCUUUGUACCACCACUUUAUGAUGUUAAAAGGGUUAAUGUAAAAGGAAUCCAUGAAGCCCACUAAGAUGACAA